GGCCGGGCGCGGUGGCUCACGCCUGUAAUCCCAGCUCUCAGGGAGGCUAAGAGGCGGGAGGAUAGCUUGAGCCCAGGAGUUCGAGACCUGCCUGGGCAAUAUAGCGAGACCCCGUUCUCCAGAAAAAGGAAAAAAAAAAAAAAAACAAAAGACAAAAAAAAAAAUAAGCGUAACUUCCCUCAAAGCAACAACCCCCCCCCCUUUU
rnacentral:sRNA from 1 species